AUGGCUUCAUCCGGUUCCAUGACGAGGCCACCGUGUGCUCACCAAGAAGACAUGCCACACAAGUGGAAGGACGCAUCUUUGGACAAGGUGAAGGAGAAUGAUGUGAAGAUUCCGCCAUGUUGGUGUGGAGAUGUUUGCAAGGUGAAGGAGUCCACCAACCGAAAGAAGUCAUGGACCGAAGGAAGGAGAUAUUUUGUUUGCCCUAAUUAUGCUUACGAUCGUGCGCUUCCAACUAACUCCUAUGACCUUCCACCGGUAUGCUAG
rnacentral:rRNA from 1 species